rfam:Arabis alpina cultivar Pajares chromosome 3, whole genome shotgun sequence.
GUGGCUGUAGUAUAGUGGUUAUUACUCCACGUUGUGGCCGUGGGAACCAGGGCUCGAUUCCCUGCAGCCACA